GAUGAACGCUGGCGGCGUGCUUAACACAUGCAAGUCGAGCGAGUCAAGUUUUCAACACUGAGUAUUCGGUAAUUAUAAAUGUAAGUAAAGCCAGCGUCAAGCACAUGCUUCAAGUGCUUCACGCGUUAUAAAAGCUUGCUAACACAUAAGACUGAGUAUUGAGUGUUGGAAACUUGACUAGCGGCGGACGGGUGAGUAACGCGUGGGCAACCUGCCCUGUACAGAGGGAUAACAACGGGAAACCGUUGCUAAUACCUCAUAAUACCUUUCGGGGGCAUCCCCUUUAGGUCAAAGAAUUUCGGUACAGGAUGGGCCCGCGUCUGAUUAGCUAGUUGGUGAGGUAAUGGCUCACCAAGGCGACGAUCAGUAGCCGACCUGAGAGGGUGAUCAGCCACACUGGAACUGAGACACGGUCCAGACUCCUACGGGAGGCAGCAGUAGGGAAUAUUGGACAAUGGGCGCAAGCCUGAUCCAGCCAUGCCG
rnacentral:rRNA from 1 species